AUUCCCCAAAAGGAAGGAGAGGAGGGGAAUAGUACACCCUUGUACUAUCACAUUCUAGUUUGACCACUUCACAAUGUACUACCCAUUUUGCUUGUACUAACUAAGUGUGGACUGUACUGCAAUCCUUCCAGUACCGUACUACCACUACUCUCAAUCCAUCCUAUUAUUGCUAUUAUUUCCUUUCUUUCUUUGCCUCGGGUGAUUAGCAAAACAGCCUAGCAAUAGGUCCCUGAAAAGGAAAUGACUUCAGUGUGCAUAUAGCAAAUGGAUGGCCCAGACCAACCUUAAACCACCCAUCUCUGCACUCACCGGAAACUGUCAUGUCUGCCAAAGUUUCCAGCAUGCAACCUUCCUGCAAAAAACUAUAUUUUCUCCUAGCUAUUGCCAUAAUCAGAUCGUCAGUUGAAAAUCAAGCUGAAUUCCAAUGGGCAAGGGCGGAAGCAACUUGGAAUCCAGGUGGGACAUGUUGACAAAAGGCUGUGUUUCAUGCAUGGACAAGAGUCAACACAGACCCUCGAAAGUGGGAUAUCACAUGCAAGGAGAACAUAAAAAUCUUUGAGGAUCUCCUAUCAGGACAAUUGAACAGCCCCCCUUCUCAUUUUAUUACAAAACAGGAGGUUUCUGCCUCUGUGGAUGAUCAUCUGUCAAGUUGACAUUAAAAAUUUGGUACAAGUUAGGUGCUCAACCCACAUGGUUGUAGGAAUAUCUUUUUCCCACAUCCUAACUAACUUGAUGUUAACUGUUUGUUGCAUGUAUUGCAGAUGUCAAACACAUUGCUUUUUCUUUAAACUUCCUUUUUUGUUCUUUUUCCUCCUUUGAUGUGGUCCAGAGAUUCAAAACAUUAAACAGAGUCUAGCUUAUUGAUUCCAGUUACAAGUUGCCUGGAACCAUUUUCCCCAGGCAUCACUGUCUCAGAAAAUAUUAGCUUCCAUUUUGAAUAAUUCGGAGAUGUUCAUGUAAUGUAAAUCAUCAAGCUUUCCAUUGA